GGGGAGUUGGGAGUGGCGGAAAAAAUAUGUGUGUGUGAACUCACGAAUGGAACUGAGCAAAUUCAAAUUUCUGCCUUCCGUUCUGCUUUUUUGCCUUUCUUAUUAUUAGUGUUAGUAUGAUCAUUUGUGCCGAAUCUGAAUCUGAUGAAUGAAACUGAAAACCACGAGGAGCAUUCUGAUCUCUAUCCUGAAACUGGGUUUAAGGGUCCAAGUACACAAAACAGCUGUUGUGUGGAACAAAGGAGGGCCUUGUCUCGGAGCAAAUAUUUGAUUAAUGAGUCUGCUGAAGGGAUGUACUGUAAGUCUACCACAGGCUAUGAUAACAUAAUGGAUAAAAUAUAUGUAGUCAUCCAACAUAACACCUGACAUGGUGCUCAGAUGAAUUCAUAAACACGAGAUGUUAUUAUAUUUUAUUAUUCAACUAUCUGAAUCAACGAGCUGCACAGCACACUGUACACCUACCGACUGGCUGACCUAGCAGCUACAGUCUCCCUUGUCAUCUUCUCCAGGUCUGAAUAAAAGUUCUUUCACACUUUAUGUGCUUCAAUAAUAUGGCACAAAGUAUGGCAGAGACCUGACACACAGCGGCUGGAAAGUAGCUGCGUGAGGAGCUUGGUAUUGUAAUAAACCUAAUUUGUAGUCAGGUUCUUUCGGUUGGGAGAAUGCACACAGAACGAGGCUGUACACGGACUUUAGAAAUAGUUAACAGUCUUUAUUAUUAUACAAGUUACUCAGUCAAUUCAUACGGCUACUAGAAAUGCCGGAUCAGGUCAGGUUACUAAAAGUCAGUAAGCCUCAGUGCUACUCGACUGAACGACUACCCCAAGGCCCUGUUAAACUAGGCGGGUUACACAGCAAUACAUCACACCACAAUAAAUAAAGUUCCAACACACACCACCGCUGUAGGACACUGCACACACUCCCACGUCACUGCAAUAGGCACACACAAGACGCCAGCCGGGCUACACACAAAGCCACUGAGAAGCAGCCAACGCACUCCUAAUUCUUCCCCAGCCUUAGCUACAGGUAUCCCACUCUUCACCGCCGGCAGCCCUAAGCAGCAUGCGAACGGCACCCACCCCUACACCUUGAAUGCAGCUCGACGUGAGCAAUCUAGCACCGCUUCCCAGACACCUCACCUUUCGCUGUGGUCUUCCUUUAUCCAUGUUGUUUCAGCACUGAUUAUGUUCCACGUUCACUCUCAUCAAUGACCAGGUGUAGCCCAUUAAUUAACACCGCCAGCUCAUCCCUUAGAUCCCUCCCCCAUACAAGAGUCAUGUCAAAACAUUCCUAACACAUCACACAUAACGUCAUUUCAUUACAGUAUUUUUGUUGCUCAAAAAGUAUUAUUGUGUUCAUAGUGAGGCCUGUGUGUGUGCAUGUAUUGUGUUCAUAGUGAGGCCUGUGUGUGUGUGUGUGUGUGUGCAUGUAUUGUGACCUGAAGCUGAAGUACAGACUAACAUGGCAGCUGUGCUUCAUGGUUUUGGAAGACCUGUGGACUUAGUAAAUAAAUUAAUAUGGUACAAACGCCAUCCAAAUCCUUGGGGUGGAAAACAAAACACCAAUGAUGAUGAUGCAGCAUUUUGUUUUUGUUUUGGGGUUGACAGGAAAGCUGACGGCUGUGCUGACACUUGUGUAUAUGGAAAUAGAAGCGGUUGCCAUCAGCAAAAAGGUUUUCAUGACAUGAAAACAAAGUAGUUCACUUUAUGAUGGCUAAGAAAUAUAAUAUUAGACACUCAUGCAAAAACAGAAGCGGAAAAUCCUACACUGUCAUCAGUUGAACAAAGUACAGGGUGCCUGAGCGCAUCAGAAAAUGUGUGUCUGAACGGCUGAAAACAAGACUACUAACCUGAGAUCAUAUCUGGCACAGAGACUAGGGCGAACCUGCAGUCAGUCCUUUAAUGAGUUUCUAGAAUGAUCUCAAAUCCUCUGGCUUUCCAGCAGGGGCUACUUGUGAAACAUGUCUGAUACUUUGUUUUGCUAAAAGACAUGGCAGCCCAUGAUGAAAGGGGCCAGUGGUUCUUACAAUCUUAGCUAAAUACAGUUUUAUAUCUCCUCCCAGACUGUUUGUUUAUGUGGUCUGUAAAUAGUAGCAUCUUACAUGUUAAGUCUGUGCUCUGACUGCCAUACCAAUGAGCCAUAAGUCAUAAAUAACAUAUAAUUUACCUUAUUUAUUUAUUGGUUCAUUUAGACAUAUAUUUAUCUCUUAAUCUGUUGAUUCUUCGGAAAGCCCAUUAAAGAGGCUCUCUGUCUUCUGUGCACUCAAGACAACUAACUAAACCCCUGUGUCAUGGUGGUCUGGUGCUGGUUCAGACUAAGUAGCAAAGGAUUUUCUGUUGCAUCCUAGAGUGUAUUUUAUGACCAGAAACAUAGCCCUGGGUCAGAGUUGACAUUAAGCAAUGAUCAAAAUAUGUGCUGAAUGAAUGGUUGAUUGCUUGAUUUUGCAAGUAGCCCCUCACCCAUUUCUUUGGGUGAAGUGGUGUAAUCCUUAGGAACACAAAAGCCAUGACCAUGUCACACAGUGGGCGGAAUGGUAGGGAACAAGAAAAACUAAAAAUUGAGGCAGGUUGAAGACAUGACAUGCAUGGUCCAUAAUUUUGCCAAACACAGGGAACAUGUUUUUAGCAUACUAAAUACAUGACAAUAUAUACAUGCAAUGUAUGGUUCCACUCAGAUUCCACAUAUGCUGGGUAAGAGUGUGAAUAUGUCAGGAAAAGGAUAGACAAUAUGUGACAAUAUGUGUUCUGAGUAAUGUAACUUCACUUUCCAAUUUAAUCCAUCCCAUCCCAUGCAGUAGGCCUACACUAUUAUGCCAAACCAGAUCACAGUCCGAAAGAGAGAUCCAGGCAAAGGUCAAAACCCGGGAAACAUAGUCAGGCAGAAUACAGGCAGGGGAACAAUCAAAGACAGCUAAAUUCCAAAAUCCAGCAACAGGAAGAAAACAAGACAGGACAAAAUGCUAGAUGGACAGUCAAAAGACAGGGCAAAAUGUUAGAUGGAAUUACACGAUCUGACAAACUGGGACUAACAGAACAGGGUGUAACUAGGCUGAGUGAAAAACUGGUACAAAACCAACAAACUUAACUCAAAAAUAUUAUUGUGUUCAUAGUGAGGCCUGCAUGUAUUACGCUGAAGGAGGAAGGGGCAUAUUAGAUAGAACCGCCACUGUUAGGAAGUGCCCACCUAACUGUCAAGAACAUGACCUGUUUUGGCAACAGUGCUAUGUUAUUUCUGUAAAAAUGUGUCCACUCCACCAAGUCAAAUCCAUGUCACAGUUGUCAGUUAGGCCACAUAAACCAAUAUGGUACCAACACAGGAUGCACAUGUUAACCCUUUUAACAGCCAUCCUAAAAUACGGUCACUGAAAAAUGAAAAAUAACCCUGACAGGUCUACUUAUGUCAGAUGCUUUAAAAAAACAAUGUCACAGUUUGUCACAGCAAAAAAUGUCAACGCUGGGGUAUUGCUGAUAAUGGUUAUGUGCUGUAACACACACACACACAAUACCUCACAAACACAAACACAAACACACACACACACACACACACACACACUCUCACACACAUGUGCACACAAACACACACACACUCCCUCACACACACACACACACACACACACACAAACACAAAACGCAUGUUCUAUCAGCACACAGCAAGAAAGCUCUCCUCUCCCACACACUAAUAAAUCCAAAUACAGCCCAACUAAAAGUGUAGUAGUAGUAGUCCCACCAUCCCCCAACAGAGACACACACACACACACACACACACACACACUACCCUCCCCAACAAUCGGUUUAAGCCACCUGGCUUUUUAUCUGCACCUGCUUCCUAUGUUGAUAAAACAAAAGAGCAGGUAUUUAGGUGUGUAAAGGUUAGAUUUGAACUUCCCCUCCCCUCUUUCUCUUACUUUAACACAACAGUGGGGUAUGUGCCACAGCAGAUGUUCUACUCAAGAUUAAGUUAUCAAGAUAUUUAUUCUUUGGGCGAACUAGUGGAAACGUCAUUUAAGUGUCUGGAGGGGGGUCAUGGGAAAAGGGCAGACAAGAUUAGCACAACCUUGGGAAUGUAAAGGAGUGCAGCCCCAAAACACCAGCAACUGCUUACCCUGUGGCUCAAUCCAUGCUUGUUUUUAAAGCAUUAUGAAAACAGAUUGUGUUUACAUACAAAAUAGUAUGGGGGUCACAUCAGGGGUUUCGUGUCAAACCUGGGGAAGUUAACAGAGUAAGUUAUUAUCUCUAAUACAGGAGCCCUAUGGCUUUAUUCUCCUAGCAAAACAAGGCAUAGGGCUCCUCUGUUAGGAGGUUUACCACCUAUUCUGAGUUAACUUACCCAGGUUUGUCACUAAACCACUUACUUGGAAUACCUCCAAGGUAGCCUUCACUGGGGCUGAACGCAUUAAACAUAGCAAACAAACAAAACAGCAUACAGACAAAACAGCAAACACAGAAGCGAGCUGAGAAGGCCAGUCCUUGCAUUCAUUUUGAAGGAUUUUGGAGCCUGAUGAAAUCAGUUUAAAUACGUGUUUUUUUUUAAGUUUGUAUUCUUAUCAUUCAAAGCCAGUUGCACACCGUUUUGAGGAAAAAUGUUGUUCAACCCAGAAACCGUGGCAAAACAGUGCACACCAUUUUCAGAUUGAACGUGCCGCAGCAGUGUCCUGCUCUUUUUCUUAUGAACUGAUUGCAACUGAGCAGGCAUCACGUGAAAGAGCAAUAUAAGGGGUUAGAUUAGUAUGUGCUACAGCGAGGCAAGGCCUUCAAGAACUGAUACUUUGAAAUGCUACAAGAACAGAAACAUAUAGUGGCCUAUCAAGCAAGCUGUAGAUGAACGGUAUGGAUCAAAAAGUAAAGUUGACUACAUGGACUCAGUAUAUGAAGUAUGCGUGUUUGAAACAAUCAUCUCAGGGCUAUUAAUUUAUAAAAAUGCAAAUAAACAAAACAAAGCUGCCAAACAAUAAAAACAAUAAUGAGUAAAACAUACAUUACUGUACUGAAAUGUUCACUCACUGGUACCUGCAGAGAGCCCAUUGGAGUAUUAAUGUCGAGUGGAGUGUUAAUGUCCACUGGAGUGUUAAUGUUCACUAGAAUAUUAAUGUCCAAAAAGUCAGAAAGUAUAUUAAUAUAAUAAAGAAUAAUAAUGUUGUGAGGGACCGAGGCGGUCACCCCACGUUUUUCGGAUGUGGGCGACUGGACUAGGUGGUGAUGUGGGGGAAAACACAGUGCAGGAGAUGGUAGCUCUUAUAAAAAUAUAUAUAUUUAUUUACAAGGGGGACUCUAGUAUCGACUCCACAGGUCCAACCAGAACCAACAAACACAACACACACUAUAUACACAGGAACCACUCCCACAUUGACGUGACAAGAGUUUGAAGUUCCUGUGUACGAAGGAUGACAUUAUUAAACUCCGUGUGAGGAAUCAGUAAAAUUUUAAAUUAAAUGAUUACAAUAAAAAUCAGUAGAAUGAUUAAGCACUCUGCUACAACGCAACUAAACACAGCACACAGCAUUUAGGCACAAUCCAGGCCCAUUCAAGGCACACAACUAAGUACAGAAACUAAGCAUGUAAACUAGGCACAGAAACAAAGUACCAAGUGUUCACACAUCUACACACCCCUUUACACUUCACCUCAUACCAGGUAAGGGUUUUCUUAUGCCAAUCCAAUAGUUCACAGUUCUCACAAAUGUCCAUAAAGUCUGAUUUGAAAAACAAAUCCGAUUUGCCUGCAGUCUUGGGUUGUGCAGGGUCAGGGGCCCCUCUUGGAUGGACUGGUCUAAACAGUAAUAACACACGAAUGGCGGAACACUGAUAAUCAGAAAUAACACACGGACGGUGGAACACUGAUAAUCGUACACAGAAAAUUGUUUUAAUACAUUGACAUGGUGGAUGCAUGACACCUCACCUGGAUGGUGCUGCAUGUGGCCAUCCCGUGGUCAAGUUUUUUCUCCGAGACUCCUUGCAUCUUUCUGCGUCAAGCAGGAAGACUGUUCCGAAGAGCCUUCUUGUGAUUCUUUCAGUGAUUGUGCUGUGUGCUAAGAAGACACACAAACAACUUGCUUUUCAUUGAUCUACAAAAAUGGAAUCAUGAAGACUUUGGACUCCCAACAGUGAAUCAGACAUGUAAACAGGUAGCAAGAUGUGUUAUAAGCUUUGUGGCGACAGCACUAUUGAGUCCUGAUUACUGCGUUAUGUACUUUCUGGAAGCCGCCCGAGUACUACUGUCUGCCAGACUACUAAGUAACUUAUUUGCGGUCUUGCUUUGUCUUGUGUUGCACUUGCAUGAUGUUUGACUGUGUCAGGAAAGCUGUUGACUCACUAGUUUGUCAUAAUGUCAAAGUAAGUCAAUUCCAACAGGUUUCGCUAGGUUUAGCCCAUUUUUCAAUGGACACCUGGUAGUUAGUAACGCACUACGCCAGAAGGUCCUCACUCACACAUUACUGAAGCAAGUGUUACAUACAUGCAGUCACAGCUUCUUUUUAGUUUGAACUUUAAUACACAGCGUAGCUACUUAGCGAUAACUAGCUAGCCAGCUAAACAGCUUCACAACGUAAUUCAAAAGAAACAUAGUUGUUUAUGAACGAUAGCUAGCUACUUGUAGCCAGCGUUGUUUUGUCAGUCAUUGUUGCUAGCUUACAGACCAGCUUUCCCUGAGCUAACAAACGUCUGUACCUUCUUUAGUUCCAUUACCUGGGAACCACAUUAUCUCUCUCCUGUGCUGUCCAAGUGACUGUAACAUACAGAGUAUUUCCAGUCAUAAUGCAUCUGAAAUGGACAAUCUCUCCUGUUAUACAGAUGUGAAAGAGGCCCUGAUUCUUCAUAUGUGAAAACGUCUUUUGUGUCGGUGUGUGUGUGUGUGUGUGCGUGUAUGUGUGUAUGUGUGUGUGUGUGUGUGUGUGCACGUAUGGGGAGGAGGUAUUUUUGCUUUGUUCCCUUAUAAUUGUCUGCUUGAAAUGCCCAAUACACAAUUUUGCUUUUGAAAAUUACAUAAAAUACCAUAACGCUUCAUUCAGACACAGCAUAUGACCAGGCGUAAUUCGCCUCGCUGUCAUUGGGAUUGAAUGGGAGGCAGAAUUCCGCCUGUUUGGCCGGCAUGAGGAAGAAUACACCUCUGCAGCCGAUUCCAAGUCGGCGAUUAUUUAACUUUAUGCAAAUCAGAACCACCCGAGAGCCAAUCAGUUAGGCGUGUGUGUGAUUUGGAAGCCUACGUUGUUCAGAGGGGCGGGAGUAAUCAAAAAAAUCAAACAAGAUGACGGAGUCUCGGGAGUCUGUUACUGGGAAAUAUUUUAUGUGAAUAAAGGUUUCUACAUGACUUUUUAUUUGUCUACAUCGACUAGGUUUGUUGUUUAUAUGCUACACAAAUGCUGUCAGGGCAAACGGAAUAUUGUAGGUCUUAACUGAAGCUCUCGACCAUUAUUGUUAGCUUGCUGCUAACACUUUAACCGAAGAUCCAUUAGAACACAUAGUAGCUUGAUAGCUGCCAAUAAGUUACAUAUAACGUUAGCAUGCUGAUAUGAAUUAUAUGGUGUUUCUCUAGAACAUGAUUGCUGUCAACAUAAACAAUUGAUUGUUGUUUACUUUGCACAUGAACAUAUUUGGGCCAAGUUACCCACUAACAAGCUCUUUAGCUUCCUAGCCGCCAGCGCCGGCAGCCAGGCGCUGCACUGCAACUGACCUUGCUACUUGACAGGCAAACUUGAUUUUUCUGACCACGCACCUGAGGCGGAAUUUUACCUGCCGAAUUACGCCUGGUCAUUUGUGUGUCCGAACGAAGCGUAAUGCGAUUUAUUUAGUCUGUGCAGUUAAUAGUCUGGAAAAUACAGUAAGUCAUAUUUGCAAUGUUGUGGUAACAUGAAACAUUUUCUUUUGUACUGAAAAAGGGUAAACAAAAAAAGCUUACCUGUAAUUGACUGGGAACGUGAAAGGGAAACAAGAAAAAGAGAAUUUUAUACAAAUCAAAACUUACUAUAAUAAAUUAAAUGCAAUGCAGAUUUCGGUGCUUCCUUUCGGUGCUUCCUUUCGGUGCCUGAGCCGAUUUAAAUAAAUAAACAGCAACAAAUCAUGCAGCUAAAUGAACAAAACUUACGUAAAAUGUUGUCUUGUAAAAAUGAAUUAUUUCAGGCUGCAACAUGAAACACGGAGGCUGGUUCCAAAACAGUAGAAAACUAGCGAUAGCUAACGACCAGUCACGUUAGAGUACGAUCUGUAUGAAUAAUUUUGUCUUGGUCACAGUUGCUAGGCAGAUUUCGAGGGGCACAUUUAAAACUGCCCCAUCUCCCAAUGUAAACUUUGGCCUGUGUCGCUCACGCUCAUUGGUAUUUCCAUAGCAACAGUCUUAUAACAGCGAAGAGCAGGCAGCAUUUCACAGAGAAAGCACAAACUGAGCUAGCCAUCAAUUUAACAGAAAAAAUGCCGAAAGGUAAACGAUCAAAAGUGUGGCUGUAUUUCGCACAAUAAGAUUCAAACAACGCGACGUGCAGCAAAUGCAACAAAACAAUUGCGUGUAAAGGGGGGAGAGAAGGCAAGAGUCAAAAGCAGAUCAGCAACCGCAGACUGAAGACUAAACGGAGAUGCCAGCAAAACUAAACCUAGUCUCUUAAAGGGGCAGUACAAGUUCACGUACUCAGUGUGUUCAAAUAAGAAGAUUAAGUAUAAACAAGAUAGAAAAGAUAGGUAUAAAACAAAUCAGAAAAUGGUGAAAUUUCAUGAAAUAAAGGCAAACAAAAUAAUAAAUAUUUCAUAUUCUGCAAAAUAAUUUUUGAAGCUGUAGUGUGUGUACAGAGUGUGUGUGUGUGUGUUUUGUAUUUAUUUAUAUUUAUUUAAGUAUACUGUAAACUGUUGUUAACAGUUAAUAUAUUGUUCAUAGUUUGAAGUUAAAAAGUUUGAAGCUGUAGUUUGAAGCCAAGUGUUUUGUAUUUAUAUUAUUAGUAUACUUUAAACAGUUAAUAUAUUGUUCCAUUUGAAGACCAAAAUUUGCCUUGGCAAUACAAAAAGCAUUUUUUUAAUGUCGUCAAUCGUCGUUUUAUGCUUUUUUUUUUUUUUAAGUAUCGGUUCAGGCACCGUUAAGGCAACGGUAUUGUUUUAAAAGUAUCGUUUUAGCACCGGUAUCGGAAAAAACCCAAUUGAUACCCAUCCCAUUUUUAAAACAUGACUAACUGUACACCUGUAUAUUAAAGUACUUCUACCUUGAUUCUCCUGACUCCUCAAUACCAGAAGGCUUCUGCUCCAGCAGUUCUUGUGGUGUGUCUUCACUUUUCCCUCUUGAAACAGGAGCAGUCAAUACUGCAGGCUGGGAAAAUAUGUGAAUUCACUCUAAAUGGCAGCACACGGUAUACAUUAUAUAUGUGGUAAUUGCAUUUUAUAAUUAAUAUUUCAUACUAUCAACAUAUUGAUUACUGCACUGACUGUCAGGCUGAUGUGUACUUUCCACGCAGUUUUGUUUGGUGUUUGUAUAUCAGUAUAACAUACCCAAUAUGCCCUCUAAUGUGCAACACAAGGAAAUGCAUUUCUUUACACAGGGCCUCACCAGAGCCUUUGGCUUUUCGUGUAAAUGCUGCCAAUACAGACAGGCAAAAGUGUAGUGGACUCUACAGACAGGCAAAAGUGUAGUGGACUCUACAGACAGGCAAAAGUGUAGGGGACUCUACAGAUCCAGUUCUAAACCAGUGGAGCAGGGAGAGCCUCGGACAGGGGCGGGAGAAGAGCGCCUGUGUGGAUGACCUCUCUAAGCCUGGACCCGAUGGAGAAGUGGCUGUAUCCUAGGAACCCCCGAAUGAAGCGUUGGAUGUAUGAAGUCCGAAUCUUCGAGUUCAAUGGAGUCAGAAAAAGGUUCUAGCUCCAUUACUUAAAGUCUGUCAACGGGAAGCUCUGACAGUUUUUUAAACAAAGUUCAGGAGGAGCCCAUUGGGAUGAUUGACGGCUGUCACUCAUCCCAUUUCCACUUUUGAGGAGAUUUAAACCCCCCUCAUCUGUCUACCACAUCACUCAGUCUGCCGUAGCAAAGUAUCCCACCUCCUCCCCAUUCUCCUCAUUUUCAUUAAUAGCUCUAAGCUCACAUUACUCCUUAUCCAUAGGAGGUGUCAGUGGACAUCAUUCAUACGCAAUCUCCACUAUGGGCAUACCAGGACCACGGCCAGCUACCAAGCCCAACAUGCUUAUUAUCAGCGCUCUAAAUCAACCAUUCCAGACAAGGACUAUCUCUCCUGUGAUACAGGUGGGAAAGGGAGCCUGAUUCUUCAUCUGUGAAAACGGCUUUUGUGGGGAGGAGGUGUAGUAAUGUCUGCUUGAAAUGGCCAUCCCUACUUCAUACAACUUUUAAAUGGCUCGCACCAAAACCGAGUGACAUUUAGCUUCACGUUAGACAAGGUAAUGUUUAAUAUACAGGGGUGCAGUCAAUACACAGUUUUGCUUUUUAAAAUGACAUAAAAUACCAUCACAUGGUUUAUUUACGUAUUACG
ensembl:lncRNA